rnacentral:rRNA from 1 species
GACGAACGCUGGCGGCGUGCUUAACACAUGCAAGUCGAGCGGUAAGGCCCUUUCGGGGGUACACGAGCGGCGAACGGGUGAGUAACACGUGGGUGACCUGCCUUUAGCUCUGGGAUAAGCCUGGGAAACCGGGUCUAAUACCGGAUAUGACUCCGCGGCGCAUGUUGUGGGGUGGAAAGCCUUGUGCGGCUGGAGAUGGGCCCGCGGCCUAUCAGCUUGUUGGUGGGGUGAUGGCCACCAAGGCGACGACGGGUAGCCGGCCUGAGAGGGCGACCGGCCACACUGGGACUGAGACACGGCCCAGACUCCUACGGGAGGCAGCAGUGGGGAAUCUUGCGCAAUGGGCGAAAGCCUGACGCAGCGACGCCGCGUGAGGGAUGACGCCU